CGCUGAAGGUCCUCGUGGCCUCAGAAUGACCCGUGAAUCUCACCAGUUCCUGUAACAAACACCACAAAAUAUGCCUCAUGCAAAGAGCAACUUUGUAAGGAAGCACUGGCAUUGCGUGGAGUCAGCAGAAUUAGGAGUGGUGCCAAGCAGGGCUUCUCUGUAAGAUACAAAAGAGACCAGAAAGAGAUCUAAGACCUGGGGCCACAGAAAAGACAGAUGCAGGACAGAACACCACGUGACCAGGGCCAAGCGGCCCAUUUCUACCAGACAUCUGGAAGAGGUGGGGGAUUUGAACUGCGUGAACACUAGAGGAUGAACAGUAGAGUGACUUCCUUUUUCCCAGCUUUAAAUUUGGGAUAUUCUCUUUUUCUGUGUGGGCUUUUUGGGUCCUCAAAGGAGAGACCUGAAUUCUGAAGAGUGGGCAAGAGAAGUUAAAUUGCUGUUCACGAAACAAUGAAUCAAAACCCGGAGUCCUUUCUGGAUUGACCUAUGUUGAAAAAGAACACUUCCUUUGCUGGUUGAGGGGGGCCCCUGGGAAGCAGUGAGCGGGGUUCUGGUGGCCCGUGGCUGUCUGAGGACGGCAGCUGGAGUGUGAGGAAGCCCUGCAGGUGAGGCCUCGCCACCAGAAGAAACCAAAACUGAAUGAGAAACCCCAUUCAGCAGAACGUGGAAAAGUCCUCUUUGUUGUUUGAAAUUUUUAUCUUGUUUGUGGCAAGGCUGACAUUCAGUGACGACCACAGCUGUGUUUGGGCCUAGGGUGUCCUCCGAGGCCUUUCUCCAAAGCAGGAACAAACCCAGCGGGUGAGCCCUCCCUCCCCCAGCUCGCGGUCCAGGCUCUGAAAUGUGUUUGGGAAAAGCUGAGCUUGGAGCGGCAGCCCUGAGAUUUUUAUCAGACUUGUGACUUUAAUUUCAGUGGGAGGAAGCAGAGUAAAACUACCUGUUUGGGUUCAUGGAUGAUGCAUUUCUGGGCGUGAAAUUCAGCUCUGUUUAUCUGAUGUUGAAACAAGUUGAGUCAACUAGUUUCCCGUUCCAUCCUCACUAUGGUUAAUGACUGGAAUCGGGAAGAAGAUUGAGGUUUUCCAGGCCCUGCCUGGGUACAGUUGGCAUCUGCUCCCCUGUUCAGUUAUCUCCCUGUUGUGUGCUCUGGGCAUGUGUGAUGGUGACCCUGAACCAGGGAGCAGGAAAAAUAAGGAAAAGCAAGGCAAGGUGUCCUGCCCGUAGCAGUACCUGCGAAGCGGCGUGGGGCGCUGUCUGUUCUCAGACUGCAGCUGGGCGAGGCCCCGGGGACGGCCGGGCUCUGCCUGUCCAGCUCGCUCGUGUCUGUCGGGGCAUCUUUCCACAGCUGGGAAAUGAAGGCCUUGGACGUGGGGGCGCGAAAGCUGUCUACUCUGCCCUUCAGCCGUCAUCACUGAAACUCACACAUCGUUGAAAGAGCCAAGGACUAUUUUAGCAAAACAAAUAUUGUAGGUAUUUGUUCAUUCAUUGAAGAUUGAUUUAUUCAUUCAUUGAAACAUUUUUUACAUACUGACUUUGUGCUAGGUGCUGAGGAUACCAAAAUGACCAAGGCUGGGUUGCCUGUCUUCCUGGGCUCACAGUCUUGUGAGGAAGAUAGACAAGUAGGCAGAUAAUCGUAGAAAAAUUAUCCACUUGAUACCAGGGGUGUGUGCUAAGUGCUCAGCCCUGCCCAGAAAUGUCCAGAAUACUGACACAGGAGCCAGAUGUUGCAGGAGGUGUAAGGAUGUCCAGGGAGCUUGCAGGAAGGAGCUUUCCCUGAGCACCAUGGGAGGCUGAACAAGAUUUUAAGCAGGGAGUGAAGGCAAAGAAGGAAACUGGGCUGCCCAGUUCUACCCCCAGUUGAGGUUCCAGUUCCCCAAGAGGCAGAGAGUUUUCUUUCCUCUGCGUGCUGAGAAGUGCUUCUCAGGACGGCCCCACACUAUGUAUGUACCACAGGUCAGGCUCGUGGUAGUUGUUUCUAUCAGGCCAAGCAUAGGAAGGUAUUUCUUGUUACUAUUUCUUGCAUAGACCCUUGAUCAAACCUGAAGACUUUAUAAAGACCGUUGUGAUUCUUGCCCUUUAUCAAGUCAAAGGCUCCUUGGAAAAUGGGCGGAAAGUAAUAAGCCAUCUCCCCAGAAAAUGCACAUACUUGUGCAUAAAAUUUCAGGAGUUUCCAGAACUUUCCUUAUACUGCCCCCACCCAGCCCAUUCAUAUAUUUUAGGUAAAGGCCUCCCACCUCGCCAUAGGCUGUGUCAGGGAACUGGAAUCACCCAGACCAGACACAGAACUGUGUGGGAAUCUGGCCUCGCUUGGACAUUAAGCUUGGGGACUCUGAGGAAGAAAUGCUAUGAGGCAGACCUUCGGCCAGGCCAUGGUUGGGUGAGGACACAGUGUUGGCAAGUGCCCUUUGCCCUGACUUACUGUGGCCCGCUGGUCCUGGACCCAGCAAAAGCCAAAGCAGCUUUUAGCUCGUCCAGUUAGCUGCCUGCCAAAGGAGCAGGAAUCUUCAAGGAGCUCAGUGUUGCACACGUUUUUUUGCCAGAUUAUCCGCUAAUUACACUCCAGUGUGUACGUGCUGGUGUGUGUACUUUCUUUCCACUUCAGCUGGUGUAUCGAGUCAACUAGCAGAGACUGGUGGGGAUAGAGGUAGACCAAGACUGUUUCAGAGGGGAAAGAGUGAAGACAGAUGUGUGGGGAAGCGACAGGCGCUGUGGGUCCACUUAUUUCUAGGCAGGGCUUUGAAGGGACAUGAAAUCCUUUUGCAGAGGCCUUUGGCGGGGCCAGUGGUAGGUGGAGGCAACAGAGGCAUUUGCUGUGGGUACGAAAUGUAAGAGGUGCCGAGAAAUCUCAGUAAUCAAACCAUGUUUUAAUGCAAUUAGAAAUAAAAACUAAUGCAAAAAAUGA